rnacentral:rRNA from 1 species
GGCGGCGCGCUUAACACAUGCAAGUCGCACGAGAAAGUGGAGCAAUCCAUGAGUAAAGUGGCGCACGGGUGAGUAACACGUGGAUCAUCUACCUUCUAGUGGGGAAUACCCUUGGGAAACCGGGGAUAAUACCGCAUAAGCUCGAAAGAGGAAAGCAGCAAUGCGCUGGAAGAGGAGUCCGCGGCUGAUUAGCUAGUUGGCGGGGUAACGGCCCACCAAGGCGAAGAUCGGUAGCCGGCCUGAGAGGGCACACGGCCACACUGGCACUGAAACACGGGCCAGACUCCUACGGGAGGCAGCAGUGGGGAAUCUUGCACAAUGGGGGAAACCCUGAUGCAGCGACGCCGCGUGAGCGAUGAAGCCCUUCGGGGUGUAAAGCUCUUUCGACGGGAACGAUAAUGACGGUACCCGAAGAAGAAGCUGCGGCUAACUACGUGCCAGCAGCCGCGGUAAUACGUANGCAGCGAGCGUUGUUCGGAAUUACUGGGCGUAAA